UUCUCUUGCAUUUUUCAAAACACGCGGUGGAACGCGGUUUUUCUAUAAUUUAGUUAUUUUUCGAUUUUAUGAUAGGGCAAGAGUGCAUUCUUACAAUUCACCCUGAACUCUUGCGAAAUUUCAUCGUAAUUGCCUCAAAAUGACCACCAAAGCUACGCCUUUUCUUGCAAUUUUCAAAACACGCGGAGGUGUACUCAGCGCAGUUUUGUGCCGAUCGUGGAAUGGGUCGGACGUGUUUUUCGCGGCUGUUCAUUUUAGUUUGAGUUUGUAAUUUGGUAAAUCGCGUUCAUUUCGAUUGUCUGUGUUUCGAGUGUUUAGUGUUUUAUUAGUGGAUUAUAGGUGUCGAAUAUACACAAUCGUCAAUUUUAUUUACGUUUGUUGUGCGUGAUGCAAGAUGGCCGUGUGCUAUCAACUUGUUUACACUACACGCUCGUAGCACGUAGCAUGUACCUGCAACGUCUUGCAACGUGUGUUGGAAUAUUAUUUCGUUUAAUUGCGGUCUAUCUGUGUCGUUGUGUUUGGUAUUUUGUCCCGGGAACAUGGACAAUGUUCUGCGCGGUAGCGGGGAAAAAUCGGUAAAGUGCAGACUUUUUAUUUUCUUUUUCUGAAAUCACUGUCCCCGUUUAAUUCACCUAUUUGUGCAAGCAAGGUCUUGGCUUACGCACGGUUAGAACGUUAUCUUAUUUUGUUAUUGUUGUGAACUUUUUGGUUAUCUAAGCGUGUCUGGUAUUACUGCAGUUAAAUGUGAUUUAAUUUUAGUUCUUAGUGAAUUCUGCGCCAAAUAUAUUCCCGAAGAUCAUCUUUUGGCUACCAGCAAUGGCGUCCGUAUUAUCCAUGUUCCAGCGACCUGCAUGCACCGCGAGAAAGAAAGAAAUUAAUUUUGUGCGUAAACACGCACAGAUGCAUCCUACGGUGGAGAAUGCACUCGAUAAUCGCCUACCACGACAUCAUCCAAGGAACACGUUCCAGCCUGGUGGAAGGCAUUUGCGUUUCGACGGGAUGCGAUACCUCUAUAAUUUAUUGCUUAUCUUGAAAACACUUCUUGCGCACACACAUUAUUUUUAAAGCAGUAUAAAUAAUGCGCACAGGGAAUGACACAAAAGAACUUCCUGACUUUUUCACCAUAAACGCAUUCUUUUAAUUCACUUAUAA